rnacentral:rRNA from 1 species
CAACCUGCCCAUCACUUGGGGAUAACCUUGCGAAAGUAAGACUAAUACCCAAUGAUAUCUCUAGAAGACAUNUGAAGGAGAUUAAAGAUUUAUCGGUGAUGGAUGGGGAUACGUCUGAUUAGCUUGUUGGCGGGGUAACGGCCCACCAAGGCUACGAUCAGUAGGGGUUCUGAGAGGAAGGUCCCCCACAUNGGAACUGAGACACGGUCCAAACUCCUACGGGAGGCAGCAGUGAGGAAUAUUGGUCAAUGGGUGAGAGCCUGAACCAGCCAAGUAGCGUGCAGGAUGACGGCCCUAUGGGUUGUAAACUGCUUUUAUAAGGGAAUAAAGUGAGUCUCGUGAGACUUUUUGCAUGUACCUUAUGAAUAAGGACCGGCUAAUUCCGUGCCAGCAGCCGCGGUAAUACGGAAGGUCCGGGCGUUAUCCGGAUUUAUUGGGUUUAAAGGGAGCGUAGGCCGGAGAUUAAGCGUGUUGUGAAAUGUAGACGCUCAACGUNUGCANUGCAGCGCGAACUGGUUUCCUUGAGU